UGGAGGGUGUGACCUGUGGUCUCGCUCCUCCCUCCUGACUGCAGGUGUUGGUGUGGGUGUCACAUCUAAAGGUGCUGUUAAUGUGAGAGUCCUGUGCUCUGCAGCUCACUGUCAGGUUACACCAGACUGAGCUGCUGGACACAGAGUCCACUGACAGAAUAACUGGAGACACUGGAUCUGAGGGGGGAGGCAGGUGGAGAGGUUUUAGAAA